rnacentral:rRNA from 1 species
GACCUGCGGAAGGAUCAUUACCGAGUGAGGGCCCUUUGGGUCCAACCUCCCACCCGUGUUUAUUUUACCUUGUUGCUUCGGCGGGCCCGCCUUUACUGGCCGCCGGGGGGCUCACGCCCCCGGGCCCGCGCCCGCCGAAGACACCCCCGAACUCUGUCUGAAGAUUGAAGUCUGAGUGAAAAUAUAAAUUAUUUAAAACUUUCAACAACGGAUCUCUUGGUUCCGGCAUCGAUGAAGAACGCAGCGAAAUGCGAUACGUAAUGUGAAUUGCAAAUUCAGUGAAUCAUCGAGUCUUUGAACGCACAUUGCGCCCCCUGGUAUUCCGGGGGGCAUGCCUGUCCGAGCGUCAUUGCUGCCCUCAAGCCCGGCUUGUGUGUUGGGCCCCGUCCUCCGAUUCCGGGGGACGGGCCCGAAAGGCAGCGGCGGCACCGCGUCCGGUCCUCGAGCGUAUGGGGCUUUGUCACCCGCUCUGUAGGCCCGGCCGGCGCUUGCCGAUCAACCCAAAUUUUUAUCCAGGUUGACCUCGGAUCAGGUAGGGAUACCCGCUGAACUUAAGCAUA